GCUGUGGAACUCCUACGGGAGGCAGCAGUGGGGAAUUUUGGACAAUGGGGGCAACCCUGAUCCAGCAAUGCCGCGUGAGUGAAGAAGGCCUUCGGGUUGUAAAGCUCUUUUGUCAGGGAAGAAACGGUAGUAGCUAAUAUCUAUUACUAAUGACGGUACCUGAAGAAUAAGCACCGGCUAACUACGUGCCAGCAGCCGCGGUAAUACGUAGGGUGCAAGCGUUAAUCGGAAUUACUGGGCGUAAAGCGCACGCAGGCGGUCUGUUAAGUCAGAUGUGAAAUCCCCGGGCUCAACCUGGGAACUGCAUUUGAAACUGGCAGGCUUGAGUCUUGUAGAGGGGGGUAGAAUUCCAGGUGUAGCGGUGAAAUGCGUAGAGAUCUGGAGGAAUACCGGUGGCGAGGCGGCCCCCUGGACAAAGACUGACGCUCAGGUGCGAAAGCGUGGGGAGCAAACAGGAUUAGAAACCCGGUAGUCCUACCACGU
rnacentral:rRNA from 1 species